GACGAACGCUGGCGGCGUGCUUAACACAUGCAAGUUGAACGGAAAGGCCUGUCCUUCCUUGUGUUGGACGGGUACUCGAGUGGCGAACGGGUGAGUAACACGUGAGUGAUCUGCCCCCAACUUGGGUAUAAGCCUGGGAAACUGGGUCUAAUUCCCGAUAGGACUGCAGGGUGGUGCCUGUGGUGGAAAACGAUUUUCUAGUGGUUGGGGAUGAGCUCGCGGCCUAUCAGCUUGUUGGUGGGGUAAUGGCCUACCAAGGCGGCGACGGGUAGCCGGCCUGAGAGGGUGGACGGCCACAUUGGGACUGAGAUACGGCCCAGACUCCUACGGGAGGCAGCAGUGGGGAAUAUUGCACAAUGGGCGGAAGCCUGAUGCAGCGACGCCGCGUGGGGGAUGACGGCCUUCGGGUUGUAAACUCCUUUCGACCGCGAGGAAGCCGCCUGGUUGGAAGGGUGGUGACGGUAGUGGUAGAAGAAGCACCGGCUAACUACGUG
rnacentral:rRNA from 1 species